CCGCCUGUUUAUUAAAAACAUGGCUUAUUGUUAAUAAUUUUAAGUCUGACCUGCCCUAUGAGGUAUUUAAAUGGCCGCAGUAUUUUGACUGUGCAAAGGUAGCAUAAUCAUUAGUUUUUUAAUUAAAAGCUGGAAUGAAUGGUUUGAUGAGAAUAUUGCUGUCUCUUGGAAAAUUUACUAGAAUUUUAUUUUUAAGUGAAAAAGCUUAGAUUUUUAUAGAAGACGAGAAGACCCUAUAGAGUUUAAUAUUUUUAUUAUGAAAUUAAAGUUUUUGGAUAAAAAAAUUUAUUUUAGGGUAAAAUGUUUUAUUGGGGUGAUAAAGAAAUUUUCAAAACUUUUUUAGUAUAAAAACAUUUAUUUAUGAAUUUAUGAUCCUUUUAUUAAGAUUAAAAGAUAAAACUACCUUAGGGAUAACAGCGUAAUUUUUUCUAGAGUUCUUAUCGAAAGAAAAGGUUGCGACCUCGAUGUUGGAUUAAAAUUAAUUGUUGGUGAAGAAGCUAGUGUUUUAGGUCUGUUCGACCUUUAAAAUUUUACAUGAUCUGAGUUUAAACCGGUGUGAGCCAGGUCGGUUUCUAUCU
rnacentral:rRNA from 1 species